rnacentral:lncRNA from 1 species
GAAGCGAAUUGAAGUCCAUCCUACAAACUCCUUCCUUCGCAUUCAAGGCUAUCCUUCUGACAUCAAGUCUUUAGCGCAUUCAAAGAGGAGACUCUAAAGUCGAGAAGCUCCUUCUUCCACUUCCAAAAUCUGUUUGAGGGCUUCUAACUUCACUCUUUUCAUAUUGUUUAAUAUUUGCUUAUUAAGAAGCUUUCCGUGUAAUUUU